CUGAAAUCCAUUCUUGUUUCUGGCGGUGUGGA
rnacentral:sRNA from 1 species